UAAGAUUGAAAUGAAGUUUGUUUGAAUUUUCUUCAAAUAGGUCAUAAAUACUUGUGUGACUAUAAAUAAUCUCAUUAAAACUUUUGAUUGAAUUAUUUCUAAAUAUAAAAAUAUAAUAUUUAUUUGUUUAAAUUGAUUAAAAAGAAAAAAUAGUCAUGUCAUAGAUUGGAAGAGAAAAAUAGUAGUUCAUAACUUACUUAUCCUUUUUUUUAUCCACCCUAAAAACUAUCUCCUCUUUUGCAAUUUUAGUAAUACAAACUCACAACAUUCUAAUUAAAAGUGAAGAGUGUUUAUCAUCGAAACAACUUUCUCUUAUUGUUUAUUUAGCAUUUAUUUGCUUUCACACGAGGUCUUUUAAUUAACGUUAGUGGUGGAAUUCGUUACUUGUGAAUGCAUAGGAAAAGGUUAGUGGCGGAAUUGAUAUUUGACACUUGAAGCCAAUUACAUUUUCACUUUCUUUCAAAAGGUCAAUAAAAGAAUGUCAAUGUAUGCCAGUUAGUAAACGUUAAAAUUAGAGGAACUUUCCUUGUAACAAACUGUCGUGUUAUAUGUGUUGGCAUCUGGUGUCUUGUCAGUCAAUUUUGAUUUCUUCAUUACUUCCACAUUUUUUUUAUUUGAUUCCUGGUCGUCCAUAACAACGUUUUGAAAGGAUGAGAUUUAAGCCCAUUUCCACAUGUGUUUUUAGCUUUCAAUAAAUGAUUUGAGUUGUUAAAAUAUCCGUCAAUGUCAGUUAAAAUAUCUUAUGGGCUAAGUGAUAGUAAUGCUUUGAAGGCUUUUGAAUGGUUUGAUUUUGACUAAUGGCUCCUGCUGCUGCUAUAAUUUUGAAAGACAUGACAAACACAAGCGCUGCAUGGUUGUUAAACUCUUCAAUGAUAAAUUUUCAGCAGAAAAAGAAGAAACUAAAGAGAAGAACACGUCAAUAUACACACACAAUAAGUAGUUGCUGCCUGAGAAUUCAUUUGUAGGGAGGAAACACGAUUAAGUGUAAUGGAGUCCAGGUAUACCAGUAUAGUUUGCAUUUUAGUGCUUUCUAUGUGUCUUCAGCAAAACGAUGUAUCUUUACAAAUUUUACAUUUAUAGGAGUCUACUUAAAGAAUUUUUCA